UACGAAGGGGGCUAGCGUUGCUCGGAUUUACUGGGCGUAAAGGGCGCGUAGGCGGACAGUUUAGUCAGAGGUGAAAGCCCGGGGCUCAACCCCGGAAUAGCCUUUGAUACUGGCUGUCUUGAGUACGGGAGAGGUGUGUGGAACUCCGAGUGUAGAGGUGAAAUUCGUAGAUAUUCGGAAGAACACCAGUGGCGAAGGCGACACACUGGCCCGUUACUGACGCUGAGGCGCGAAAGCGUGGGGAGCAAACAGG
rnacentral:rRNA from 1 species